rnacentral:rRNA from 1 species
UUGAACGCUGGCGGCAGGCCUCACACAUGCAAGUCGCACGGUAACAGGAAGCAGCUUGCUGCUUCGCUGACGAGUGGCGGACGGGUGAGUAAUGUCUGGGAAGCUGCCUGAUGGAGGGGGAUAACUACUGGAAACGGUAGCUAAUACCGCAUAAUGUCGCAAGACCAAAGAGGGGGACCUUCGGGCCUCUUGCCAUCGGAUGUGCCCAGAUGGGAUUAGCUUGUUGGUGGGGUAACGGCUCACCAAGGCGACGAUCCCUAGCUGGUCUGAGAGGAUGACCAGCCACACUGGAACUGAGACACGGUCCAGACUCCUACGGGAGGCAGCAGUGGGGAAUAUUGCACAAUGGGCGCAAGCCUGAUGCAGCCAUGCCGCGUGUAUGAAGAAGGCCUUCGGGUUGUAAAGUACUUUCAGCGGGGAGGAAGGGAGUAAAGUUAAUACCUUUGCUCAUUGACGUUACCCGCAGAAGAAGCACCGGCUAACUCCGUG